UGAGGAAUAUUGGUCAAUGGGCGGUAGCCUGAACCAGCCAAGUAGCGUGAAGGAUGAAGGUUCUAUGGAUUGUAAACUUCUUUUAUAAAGGAAUAAAGUGAGGCACGUGUGCCUUUUUGUAUGUACUUUAUGAAUAAGGAUCGGCUAACUCCGUGCCAGCAGCCGCGGUAAUACGGAGGAUCCGAGCGUUAUCCGGAUUUAUUGGGUUUAAAGGGAGCGUAGAUGGGUUGUUAAGUCAGCGGUAAAAGCCCGGGGCUCAACCCCCGGGCGAGCCGUUGAAACUGGGGGGGUCUAGAGACGGCGAGAAGUACGCGGAAUGCGCGGUGUAGCGGUGAAAUGCAUAGAUAUCACGAAGAACUCCUAUUGCGAAGGCAGCUCACUAAACUGCAACUGACAUUGAGGCUCGAAAGUGUGGGUAUCAAACAGGAUUAGAUACC
rnacentral:rRNA from 1 species